GACGAACGCUGGCGGCGUGCUUAACACAUGCAAGUCGAACGGAAAGGCCCUGCUUGCAGGGUACUCGAGUGGCGAACGGGUGAGUAACACGUGGGUGUUCUGCCCUGCACUUCGGGAUAAGCCUGGGAAACUGGGUCUAAUACCGGAUAGGAGCCAUUCUUCGUGUGAUGGUUGGAAAGUUUUUUCGGUGUAGGAUGAGUUCGCGGCCUAUCAGCUUGCUGGUGGGGUAAUGGCCUACCAAGGCGGCGACGGGUAGCCGGCCUGCGAGGGUGGACGGCCACAUUGGGACUGAGAUACGGCCCAGACUCCUACGGGGGGCAGCAGGGGGGAAUAUUGCACAAUGGGCGCGAGCCUGAUGCAGCGACGCCGCGGGGGGGAUGACGGCCUUCGGGUUGUAAACUCCUUUCGCUAGGGACGAAGCUGUUUGUGACGGUACCUAGAUAAGAAGCACCGGCUAACUACGUG
rnacentral:rRNA from 1 species